AGGAACCUCUGCAGACGACCGAGAUGUACCACCGGGUCAUGUACGUAGUCGAGUAGGCUAGUUCUUACGAGCUACUGAGUGUAAGCCCGACAGUGGUCGGUUCU
rnacentral:ncRNA from 1 species